AGAUUAAGUUAUUAAGGGCGCACGGUGGAUGCCUUGGCACUAGAAGCCGAUGAAGGACGUUACUAACGACGAUAUGCUUUGGGGAGCUGUAAGUAAGCUUUGAUCCAGAGAUUUCCGAAUGGGGAAACCCAGCAUGAGUUAUGUCAUGUUAUCGAUAUGUGAAUACAUAGCAUAUCAGAAGGCACACCCGGAGAACUGAAACAUCUUAGUACCCGGAGGAAGAGAAAGAAAAUUCGAUUCCCUUAGUAGCGGCGAGCGAAACGGGAAGAGCCCAAACCAACAAGCUUGCUUGUUGGGGUUGUAGGACACUCUGUACGGAGUUACAAAGGACGACAUUAGACGAAUCAUCUGGAAAGAUGAAUCAAAGAAGGUAAUAAUCCUGUAGUCGAAAAUGUUGUCUCUCUUGAGUGGAUCCUGAGUACGACGGAGCACGUGAAAUUCCGUCGGAAUCUGGGAGGACCAUCUCCUAAGGCUAAAUACUCUCUAGUGACCGAUAGUGAACCAGUACCGUGAGGGAAAGGUGAAAAGCACCCCGGAAGGGGAGUGAAAUAGAACCUGAAACCGUGUGCUUACAAGUAGUCAGAGCCCGUUAAUGGGUGAUGGCGUGCCUUUUGUAGAAUGAACCGGCGAGUUACGAUUUGAUGCAAGGUUAAGCAGUAAAUGUGGAGCCGUAGCGAAAGCGAGUCUGAAUAGGGCGUUUAGUAUUUGGUCGUAGACCCGAAACCAGGUGAUCUACCCUUGGUCAGGUUGAAGUUCAGGUAACACUGAAUGGAGGACCGAACCGACUUACGUUGAAAAGUGAGCGGAWGAACUAAGGGUAGCGGAGAAAUUCCAAUCGAACCUGGAGAUAGCUGGUUCUCUCCGAAAUAGCUUUAGGGCUAGCCUCAAGUGAUGAUUAUUGGAGGUAGAGCACUGUUUGGACGAGGGGCCCCUCUCGGGUUACCGAAUUCAGACAAACUCCGAAUGCCAAUUAAUUUAACUUGGGAGUCAGAACAUGGG
rnacentral:rRNA from 1 species